GCUUACGGCCAUACCACCCUGAGAACGCCCGAUCUCGUCUGAUCUCGGAAGCUAAGCAGGGUCGGGCCUGGUUAGUACUUGGAUGGGAGACCGCCUGGGAAUACCAGGUCCUGUAAGCU
ensembl:rRNA 5S_rRNA 5S ribosomal RNA